rnacentral:tRNA from 1 species
CAAGGUAUAGCUUAACGCAAAGCAUCCGGCCUACACCCAGAAGA